GGCAGCGACGGCGAUGGGGAGGCUGCAGAGCCCGGGGCGGGUACCGCGCGGGAACCAGCGCGACUGCGUGGCUACCGCAGCCGUCGGUUCGUGUUGGACGGGCGCCGCUGCUGCCUCUGCUACUUCAAGAACCCCCACGACCCGCUGCCCCUCGGCCACCUGGACAUAGCAGAAGCCUGCUUCAGCUACCAGCGCGCCGACGAGGCGGCGGAGCAGCCUGCGCACUUCCAGGUGCGCAGCGCGGGAGCCGCCACGGUGCUUGAGGAUCUCGCUCUGUUGUGCAGACUGAAGUGCAGUGGUGUGAUUUCAGCUAACUGCAGCCUCAUGCCUGGGCUCAAGUGAUCCUCCCACCUGAGCCUCCCACCUGAGCCUCCCAAGUAUCCGGGACCACAGAAAUUUGAUGUCUUCUUUCCAUCCUGGGAAUGGACAUAAUGAUAGUCGGAGGUCUGUGUUUUAUGCCAAUGAAAAGUGGGAAUUUUUAGACCCAACCCCUAAGGACCUAGAGGAGUCCAUAGUACAGGAAGAAAAGAAGGAGCCAACCCCUGAAGGAAACAAAGUUUCACAAAGGCUGAAAAAUUUGCCUCAUACUUCCCUCAAAGCCAAACAGUUGCUUCAAACUUCAUCUACAAAUAGAGGAUUUGUACCUCAAUUGAUGGAAUAUUGCUUUCUCAUAGACCAAUGGGCUUGGAGCAUUA
rnacentral:lncRNA from 1 species